rnacentral:lncRNA from 10 species
CUCUGACAUCUGUUUUGGGUUCUCAGCCUCAGCUGGCCCCACUGCCCUUUCUCCUGCGAUGACUCACAGGCCCCAUUCAGGCCACCGAGUGGCAGGUAUAGAGUGUCUCACCUCGGAGUACUGGGGAUGAGGGGUGAGCGUCCGGGCAGCAGGCGAGCCCCCAAGGCUGGCCCGCUGACACCGCUGGCGGCAAAAAUUUCUACGGCAGUUUCUCUUGAACCAGGCAGAAAACAACCCCUGAGGCUGCUCGGUGCUCCCUAGUCUCCUGGUUUGCAUUGCACAUCCAUUUUGAGCCUGCUGCUACUGAUGAGAAAAUGACCUCAAACAACUGCCCACUAAAGGUCCCAUGUUGUGACGAUGCCGGGGGCUUUCUGCAUAGCGCUCCGCUUCUCAGACUGAGCAGCUUCUGGAGUUUUGUACAAUGCCUGGGCCUGAGGAAACCUGCCAGGAUAUUCCUGAUGGUUCCAGCUUCCUACCCUUCCAGUUAAAAUAAACAAAAACGAGGGUCUUGAGUGUCUAUGAUUUUCAUAAGAUCUAUGGCGUUUCUUCUGCAGAUGAUCAACAGUUGCCUGCCUUGGACUUUGGAGUUCCCAAGAACUAGAAAAUCCAGGUCAGGAACUGUAUCUUUGCUCAGCCACCUGCAAACAGACUUGAGAACAAUGUAAACCACCCUCUGCAGGAUAUUGAUUCUGAUGGAGUAAAUGUUGAUUAAGCAGAAUGGUGUUUUUUUUUUUAACUGGAGGAAUUCCAGAUCUUUCCUUAGGCCUGUCUCUCCAGGGAAAUGAGCUCUAGCCUUAAAAAUCUACAGAAAACCUGAGUAAGAAUGAAGAUUUAUGAUGGGAGACGCUGGGCGGAAGACGGCUGGCUAUCUGGUGGGCUAUCUAGAAGCUCAUCUUUGUGUUAUUAGAGAAACACUCCCGCUCUUGACAGGAUAUGGUCUGCUUAUCACAUAAUCUUCUCAAGUUUCAUUCCCAUUCUGCUUACAAAUGCCCCAAAUAUAAAGAGAUGCAUUUCAUCAAGACAGCCUUUUAAGAGGCAGUUGAUCCCAGCUGUUGCCGUCUAUCUUAAACACCUACCUUUUCACCCUAGUGUGGAGUUUACAUGUCGAUAAGCGAUGUAAAAAAGGGAACUUGAGAAAUCUCAGCAGAGGAAAAACACCGAGCCUGUCUCUGGGGAUUGGAGUAGGAGUAAAGAGCUCAGGAAGCUCUAAGUUCCAGAACACCCCUCCUUUUCAGAGAGGAGCCCUGGGGCGAUGCUGGCCUGCCCCAGGCCUUGAGCUGAUCUCAAAUACCAGGGACUGGAAACCGUUUUCCAGGCACAUAAGCUGAGGGAUUCAUUGCCUGCUACUUUGGCAUUUUCUUGUCAAGAGCUGGUGGUAAAAUAGUAGUGAAAGAUGCAGGUAGGAACAGGAGAGCCAGACCUGGAAGGUUUUGGCUCACCCAUGGACCCUCCGUCCUGGCAUUGUCCAUGCUCAUCCGUGAUGAAUUCUCAAUACCUGAUUUCAUGACACACAUAUGUAGACCUGGGAUGCAUUCCCAGACGGCCAAGUGGGAUAUGCUGCCAAAUGACCUGUGAGUUUUCUCUCACUCCUGAGUCUGCAAGCUCAGAAAGCCAGGGGCUCUUAGAGGUUGCUAAGUCCAGAAGACUUUUAUGCAGAAUACCGAGGGAGGAGGUUAGAAUUAAGUAUUAAGUGGGCAAAACAGGAGGGGUCAUUUCAGAGUCCUGCUUGGGUCCUGGUGCAGCCUGUUGUAGCUGAUAGGGAUGGAGGCGGGGAGGUAUCUCCUUUGUUGAAGAAAUAAACCUGUGACUGUGAAUCCAGUCUGCUCCCUCCUAAAGACUGGGCUGCAGUGUUUGAAGUCGGAACUGGUGUGUUUCGGGAAGCUGGCUGCAUCAGGUUCCCAUUAGCCCAGGCAGCUGCACCAGUGGGUUCACACCAUGACAUGGUAACAAUUAAGCCUUCUGCUACUGGUCCUUACCCUGGGGUGAGGCUCUUUUCUUUUUUACCAAUGUGACUUAAAGUUGCCCUGGUUUCCUUGUGGCUCGAUUUCCUGCAGAUUCCCGUUACUUUAUGUCUAAUCUUCUGAGACCACUCAUUAGACCACACAAAUUGUAACAAUUGUCUCCAGCACACAGAUCCUGUUCCAGACCCUCAGUGUACCUAGGAAAAAGACUAUCUCUCUGAAACGUGAGAGUUACUUCCUGUGUAAAUAGACGAAUUCCAAAAAAUCCGAGGCAAAAAUAUUAGGGAAAAUAAACUAAUUAUACUCCCAUACCCUGAGGCAUUCUAAAAUUAUUUUCUUCCUUUAAAAAAAAAAAGCAGUGGGUUAGAACAAUUAUUUCCAUUUUCAGUGAUGAGAGAGAUAAUACAUGUACAAAUGACUGUAGUAUGAAGCAGAAAAACGAAAAGAUAUCAUUAAAUUCUAUGGUUUUUCCAAGCAAGAAAAAUAUUUCUUUAUAGAGAAUAAGCCUGAUCAGAGAAAUUGCCAUUUGAGCUGAAACUUGAAAAAUAGGUGGAAUUUGGAUAUAUAGAAGUUGGCAGAAAGAAGAAAGAAGCAUUUAGGAGAGGGAACAAAAGCAACAAAAAUGUGGGCAUUUUCAUAGGACUUACUGUAGCUUAAGCACUGAUAGACGCUGUGGGAAGUAAAAUAAUGUAUAGAUGCCUCUCGAUUUACAACGAAGUUACGUCCUGAUAAGUCUAUUGUAAGAUGAAAAUAUUGUAAGAUGAAAAUAUUGUAAGAUGAAAAUGCAUUUAGGCGACGGGCACAGUGGUUCAUGCCUGUAAUCCCAGCACUUUGGGAGGCU